UACGUAUGGUGCGAACGUUGUUCGGAAUCACUGGGCAUAAAGAGCACGUAGGCGGUCGAGCAAGUCCGGUGUGAAAUCCCCCGGCUUAACCGGGGAACUGCACCGGAUACUAGUCGACUAGAGUGCAGGAGGGGAGAGUGGAAUUCCAGGUGGAGCGGUGAAAUGCGUAGAUAUCUGGAGGAACGCCGGCGGCGAAAGCGACUCUCUGGUCUGCAACUGACGCUGAGGUGCGAAAGCUAGGGGAGCAAACGGG
rnacentral:rRNA from 1 species